AUGAGGCUAUUAUGCCCAGCAGAAAAUCGAUUAGAAGCCUCAUCCCAACUCUUGCCUUCUCAGACCCAGACAAUUGAGGACCGAGGCGUGGACACUAUGCUGCGUCUCUCACUGACCGCCAUGACCUAUCCAGGCAGAUUUCUGCGGCGGGAUCUGGAAGAGUGGUGCCUGACGUGCUAAACCCACCUUUCCACCAGAUGGCAGGACUCUGAUCCCCUGGCGAGAGGCUGGAAAAGUGGGUAAUGUAAAGUGAAAGUGAAAGUGAAGUCGCUCAGUUGUGUCCGACUCUUUGCGACCCGUGGACUGUGG
rnacentral:lncRNA from 1 species